rnacentral:rRNA from 1 species
GUAGGGAAUCUUCCACAAUGGGCGCAAGCCUGAUGGAGCAACACCGCGUGAGUGAAGAAGGGUUUCGGCUCGUAAAGCUCUGUUGUUAAAGAAGAACACGUAUGAGAGUAACUGUUCAUACGUUGACGGUAUUUAACCAGAAAGUCACGGCUAACUACGUGCCAGCAGCCGCGGUAAUACGUAGGUGGCAAGCGUUAUCCGGAUUUAUUGGGCGUAAAGAGAGUGCAGGCGGUUUUCUAAGUCUGAUGUGAAAGCCUUCGGCUUAACCGGAGAAGUGCAUCGGAAACUGGAUAACUUGAGUGCAGAAGAGGGUAGUGGAACUCCAUGUGUAGCGGUGGAAUGCGUAGAUAUAUGGAAGAACACCAGUGGCGAAGGCGGCUACCUGGUCUGCAACUGACGCUGAGACUCGAAAGCAUGGGUAGCGAACAGGAUUAGAUACCCUAGUAGUCC